CAGUGAAGAUUUAGUUUGGAGUCAGAUCUGACUUUGUCUCUAACUUUCUGUUCUGGGACUUGAGACGGGGCUUCAGACUUUCAGUGAGAUGUUGACAUGAACACUAAUGUGUCACAUGUAAAUGACACUGAUAUUGAUCAUGAACACAUCAUAAACUGAUGAUUAUAUUUGAAAUGUUGUGGUAAAAGUAAAUGUAGUCGAGUAUUGUGUAUUAACAGCAGUGAAAUACGUCUCAUGUUCAAACUCAGGCUCAAACUAAAACAAAAGAGUUCAGUUUUACUGCGCUGAAGUAUUUCCUCUGAGUUAAACCAUGUUUUUCAUGUGUGUUUCAGAAUCUACUGUGGUUAAUAAGAAGAUAAGGGCCUGAUAAAGACCCUCUGGAGGAUUCCCUCUGGUGGGGAUGUAGAGGCAGAUCCUCUAUUGUUUCUUUCAGAAGCUGCUGUGGUGGAGUUUACAGACUGACCCUCUGUAAGUGCAUCUCUCCAAUCAAGUGUUCACCUUUCAUGUUCACAUCACACAGCCACUGUCAGGACUUACAAUGUUCUUCACAAACCUGAACCCACACUCCUCACAAGAACAAGAGGAGUAAUGAGGAGUUUAACUCUCACUGGAGUCAUUUCAGAUGCUGUGAGAAAAGGGAAGCUCAGAGCUGAACACUGACAGACUGGAUCUUCACCAGAAGAACUGAAGAGGAACCAGACUCACUGCACCAACAUCUGCCUCAAAACAUCUGCCUCAAAACAUCUGCCUCAAAACCUCUGCCUCAAAACAUCUGCCUCAAAACAUCUGCCUCAAAACAUCUGCCUCAAAACAUCUGCCUCAAAACAUCUGCCUCAAAACAUCUGCCUCAAAACAU